UAAAGGGAUGAUUCUACACAGUGGUGGAUUCGAAACCUUUAGAAUAGGCUCUCCCUUCCCUAUUCCUACUCAAUACGUCUCUAUCGUAUUGUCCCUCGAACGGUAACAGAUCUCUCAAUUAUCCAGGCUUGGGUAUAAGGGGAAACUCAACUCCUUGUACGGAUGGGUUGCAUGACUAAAUUGAGAGAG
rnacentral:ribozyme from 1 species